AACGAACGUUGGCGGCGUGGUUUAGGCAUGCAAGUCGUACGAGUUUCCUCUGGGUACCUGGAUGAAAAAAGUGGCGAAAGGGGCAGUAAGGCAUGGAUAAUCUACCCUGAUGACCGGGAUAGCUGUCCCAACGGGCAGGUAAUACCGGAUGAGCUGGUGGGGCCGCAUGGUUCUGCCAGGAAAGGCGCCAGCCGUGUCGGGGGGAAUCCAUGUGAUAUUGGGUAGGUGGGGAGGUAAAGGCUCACCGAGGGGAAGAUUUCUAGCGGUGGCGAGAGCACGAACCCGGCCAUUGGAGCAGAGACAUGGGCCCGAGUCCUCCGGGGGGCUGAAGUGGAGGAUAUUCGGCAAUGGGGGAAAGCCUGACAGGGCGAAGCCGCGUGAGCGAUGAAGGCGAUUAGGUUGUAAAGCGCUGUCGAGGGGGAACAAGCCGCAAGGUUGAGUGAGCCCGGGAGGAAGCACGGGCUAAGUUCGUG
rnacentral:rRNA from 1 species